rfam:Oryza sativa (indica cultivar-group) chromosome 6, whole genome shotgun sequence.
AGAAAAAAAAACUCUUCAUUUUCGUGUCCAACGUUUGACUAUCCGUCUUAUAUGAGAUUUUUUUAUAAUUAGUAUUUUUAUUGUUGUUAGAUGAUAAAACAUGAUUAAUACUUUAUGCGUGAUUUGUCUUUUUAAUUUUUUCAUAAUUUUUUUAAAUAAGACGGACGGUCAAACGUUGGACACAGAAAUCUAGGGUUUGUCCUUUU